rnacentral:rRNA from 1 species
GACGAACGCUGGCGGCGUGCUUAACACAUGCAAGUCGAGCGGUAAGGCCCUUUCGGGGGUACACGAGCGGCGAACGGGUGAGUAACACGUGGGUGACCUGCCCUCAGCUCUGGGAUAAGCCUGGGAAACCGGGUCUAAUACUGGAUAUGACUCCAUGACGCAUGUUGUGGGGUGGAAAGCCUUGUGCGGCUGAGGAUGGGCCCGCGGCCUAUCAGCUUGUUGGUGGGGUGANGGCCUACCAAGGCGACGACGGGUAGCCGGCCUGAGAGGGCGACCGGCCACACUGGGACUGAGACACGGCCCAGACUCCUACGGGAGGCAGCAGUGGGGAAUCUUGCGCAAUGGGCGAAAGCCUGACGCAGCGACGCCGCGUGAGGGAUGACGGCCUCGGUUGUAACUCUUCAGCUCCGACGAAGCGAGAGUGACGGUAGGAGCGAGAAGAAGAC